GAUAACUGGGCCAUGGUUAAGAGGGACAGCCGGAGGCAUUCAUAUUGUGCCGCUAGAGGUGAAGUUCUUGGACUGGCACAAGAUGGCCUAAAGCAAAAGCAUUUGCCAAGAAUGUUUUCAUG
rnacentral:ncRNA from 1 species